rnacentral:rRNA from 1 species
AGUGAACGCUGGCGGUAGGCCUAACACAUGCAAGUCGAACGGCAGCACAGGAGAGCUUGCUCUCUGGGUGGCGAGUGGCGGACGGGUGAGGAAUACAUCGGAAUCUACUCUGUCGUGGGGGAUAACGUAGGGAAACUUACGCUAAUACCGCAUACGACCUACGGGUGAAAGCAGGGGAUCUUCGGACCUUGCGCGAUUGAAUGAGCCGAUGUCGGAUUAGCUAGUUGGCGGGGUAAAGGCCCACCAAGGCGACGAUCCGUAGCUGGUCUGAGAGGAUGAUCAGCAACACUGGAACGGAGACACGGUCCAGACUCCUACGGGAGGCAGCAGUGGGGAAUAUUGGACAAUGGGCGCAAGCCUGAUCCAGCCAUACCGCGUGGGUGAAGAAGGCCUUCGGGUUGUAAAGCCCUUUUGUUGGGAAAGAAAUCCAGCUGGCUGAUACCCGGUUGGGAUGACGGUACCCAAAGAAUAAGCACCGGCUAACUUCGUGCCAGCAGCCGCGGUAA